UACGUAGGGGACAAGCGUUGUCCGGAUUUAUUGGGCGUAAAGAGCGUGUAGGCGGCCAGAUAGGUCCGUUGUGAAAACUGGAGGCUUAACCUCCAGCGGUCGAUGGAAACCAUCUGGCUAGAGUCCGGAAGAGGAGAGUGGAAUUCCUGGUGUAGCGGUGAAAUGCGCAGAUAUCAGGAAGAACACCCGUGGCGAAGGCGGCUCUCUGGGACGGUACUGACGCUGAGACGCGAAAGCGUGGGGAGCGAACAGG
rnacentral:rRNA from 1 species